AAUGAAUGACAAACAUCUGCUGCAGCUGUGCGUCACUGCGUUUCUGCUCGACUCUCAGUCAUGUUGUCCUUGGCCCCCCUCUCACUCCGUCUCGUGGCCUCUGGUUGCCAAGGAAGCAGGCGAUCAGUAGCAACCGUCGUCUCCGGCAACAAGACAUCCAAGUUGGUGAGGGAUAGACUGAGGAUGGAGGUGGAGAAGAUGAGGGGUCAGUUCUCAGGGUUCAGGCCCAGUCUGGUCGUGUUACAGGUGAGUCUGGUUUUACAGCUGAGUCCAGAGCGUAAGUGUCAACAAAACAACACAAAAGUCUGUAGGUGAUUCUACAGUUGGACAUUUAAACCUCAAAAUCUGGACUCAGUCUGUGUAUUCAGCUGUGAAAAACACCAACGCUGUUUACUUAACCUGGCAUAAUGCAACUGUUU
ensembl:lncRNA